GCGCCUAUCGUCUAGCGGCCGAGGACACUGCCCUUUCACGGCAGCAACCGGGGUUCGAAUCCCUGUAGGCGUGCCA
rnacentral:tRNA from 1 species